rnacentral:rRNA from 1 species
UAGGGAAUCUUCCACAAUGGACGCAAGUCUGAUGGAGCAACGCCGCGUGAGUGAAGAAGGUUUUCGGACCGUAAAGCUCUGUUGUUGGUGAAGAAGGAUAGAGGUAGUAACUGGCCUUUAUUUGACGGUAAUCAACCAGAAAGUCACGGCUAACUACGUGCCAGCAGCCGCGGUAAUACGUAGGUGGCAAGCGUUGUCCGGAUUUAUUGGGCGUAAAGCGAGCGCAGGCGGAGGAAUAAGUCUGAUGUGAAAGCCCUCGGCUUAACCGAGGAAUUGCAUCGGAAACUGUUUUCUUGAGUGCAGAAGAGGAGAGUAGAACUCCAUGUGUAGCGGUGGAAUGCGUAGAUAUAUGGAAGAAUACCAGUGGCGAAGGCGGCUCUCUGGUCUGCAACUGACGCUGAGGCUCGAAAGCAUGGGUAGCGAACAGGAUUAGAUACCCUGGUAGUCCAUGCCGUAAACGAUGAGUGCUAAGUGUUGGGAGGCUUCCGCCUCUCAGUGCUGCAGCUAACGCAUUAAGCACUCCGCCUGGGGGAGUACGACCGCAAGGUUGAAAC